UACGAAGGGGGCUAGCGUUGUUCGGAAUUACUGGGCGUAAAGGGCGCGUAGGCGGUGUGUCAAGUCAGGCGUGAAAGCCCCGGGCUCAACCUGGGAACAGCGCUUGAGACUGGCACGCUCGAGUUCGGGAGAGGAUGGUGGAAUUCCCAGUGUAGAGGUGAAAUGCGUAGAUAUCUGGAGGAACACCGGUGGCGAAGGCGGCAUCCGGGACCGACACUGACGCUGAGGAGCGAAAGCCAGGGGAGCAAACGGG
rnacentral:rRNA from 1 species